rnacentral:rRNA from 1 species
CCUACGGGGGACAGCAGUGAGGAAUAUUGGUCAAUGGACGAGAGUCUGAACCAGCCAAGUAGCGUGAAGGAUGACUGCCCUAUGGGUUGUAAACUUCUUUUAUAUGGGAAUAAAACAGGGUAUGCAUACCCUCUUGUAUGUACCAUAUGAAUAAGGAUCGGCUAACUCAGUGCCAGCAGCCGCGGUAAUACGGAGGAUCCGAGCGUUAUCCGGAUUUAUUGGGUUUAAAGGGAGCGUAGGUGGAUUGUUAAGUCAGUUGUGAAAGGUUGCGGCUCAACCGUAAAAUUGCAGUUGAAACUGGCAGGCUUGAGUACAGUAGAGGUGGGUGGAAUUCGUGGUGUAGCGGUGAAAUGCUUAGAGAUCACGAAGAACUCCGAUUGCGAAGGCAGCUCACUGGACUGCAACUGACACUGAUGCUCGAAAGUGUGGGUAUCAAACAGGAUUAGAUACCCGAGUAGUC